UACGAAGGGUGCUAGCGUUGUUCGGAAUCACUGGGCGUAAAGCGCGCGUAGGCGGCGGAUCAAGUCAGGGGUGAAAUCCCACAGCUUAACUGUGGAACUGCCCUUGAAACUGGUUCGCUAGAGUGUCGGAGGGGAUGGCGGAAUUCCUAAUGUAGAGGUGAAAUUCGUAGAUAUUAGGAGGAACACCGGUGGCGAAGGCGGCCAUCUGGACGACAACUGACGCUGAGGCGCGAAAGCGUGGGGAUCAAACAGG
rnacentral:rRNA from 1 species